rnacentral:tRNA from 1 species
UGGGAGAUCGUCUAAUGGUAGGACUACGGACUCUGACUCCGUCAAUCGUGGUUCGAAUCCACGUCUCCCAG